AUUGAACGCUGGCGGCAGGCCUAACACAUGCAAGUCGAACGAGUGGCGGACGGGUGAGUAAUGUCUGGAAAACUGCCUGAUGGAGGGGGAUGCGUACUGGAAACGGUAGCUAAUAGCGCCAACCAUACGAUGUGGCCAGAUGGGAUUAGCUUGUUGGUGGGGUAACGGCUCACAAAGGCGACGAGCCCUAGCUGGUCUGAGAGGAUGACCAGACACACUGGAACUGAGACACGGUCCAGACGCCUACGGGAGGCAGCAGUGGGGAAUAUUGCACAAUGGGCGCAAGCCUGAUGCAGCCAUGCCGCGUGUAUGAAGAAGGCCUUCGGGUUGUAAAGGACUGUAAGCGGGGAGGCGUUACCCGCAGAAGAAGCACCGGCUAACGCCGUGCCAGCAGCCGCGGUAAUUC
rnacentral:rRNA from 1 species